rnacentral:lncRNA from 1 species
CCGCCUUUCAGCUCCCCAAAUCUCCCAGGUCAACUCGGAUUCCCUCCCCAGCCACGCUCAGAGGUGGUCGGUUUGCUUGCAGAGGGGGCUGCUUGCUGCAAUCCGUUCUGCCUGCAUGGCUUUCACAACCCCGGGCCCCUCCCUCGGAGCGCCGGCUGAAUUAUGCAGUGUGGGGUUCUGCAAGCAACUACACUGAAUGGCAUUGUGCCAACGGCGGGGACAGUCACACCGGGUGGGAAUUAACCCGGAUCAGAGCCAUCUUCAGUGGGGAAAAUGCCUAAGGCGCACAGCCCGCCCUGUAACUAUACACCGAGGGUACUCACCCUCCGCCUGCUGCUGGGGAAAUACGGCAAAUCGAGCGAAGAGGAGCGCAAUCCGGAGCCACGCUUCCAGGGUCCACAACAAAGCAGCUGUAAAGUGGCAAGACUCUGAACCGUUGCCCACCUGGGAGAAGAGGGUAAAUUUGUUGCCGGAUUCAAGCUCUUUUGGAAAGGCCAUUGGCUUCUUUUUCAAGUUGUGAAAACAAAAUACAGCAGCUUGGGGUAAGAGUCAAAUAAUCCUGCAUGUUUUGGUGCAUCCAGCCCUUCCUCGUGCAUUGUGAGUGUCUCUCAUUUAUCUAGGCUACCUAUGGAAGUCCCACCCACCUGCCUGCCCAACAAGGCCAAAGCAACCUUUCUCCAACUAAAGGAAUCCUCCAAAGCCUCUCUCUAGUUUAUGCCCAUCCCAUGUAAACGUCUGUGCUCCUGCUAUGAAUCACACUUAACUAUAAAUGGGUUGCAGGGCCCAGCUGUACACUGCCUUUGUGCCUUGACUUUAAAUGUUGUGCAUGGGUGCCUUACACAAUUAGGUCCUACAAAUUACCUUUAAGUGGGGCUUGUGAGAAAGGAUAAGAGGGGAGGAUUAUGGUGAGGAAUAGGGAAGUUGGGGGUUGGCCAUGGAAGCACCUUAAUGGGAAUCUAAAGGUCAGCAGGCAGGAAAAGCUGAAGGUCCAACUCAGUGAUACAGGGGGUCUGAGUCCUUGGACAGGGAACUUUCUUCACUGAACUAUUCCAGACCUUACUAAAGGUUCAGACUCAAUUCAACAAUAGAGCAUAGAUUCAAGCUGGUUAUUACACACACACUCUCUCUCUCUCUCUCUCUCUCUCCCCCCCCCACGCCCUUCUCAGAGUCAAAACAAUUCCUGUCGCAUCACAUCAACCCCCCCAAAAAACAUACACCAAAUAUUAUGUCAACAGGAGAGUUAUUUUGCAAUGGCAAUACAAAGGCUAUUACAAUUUUUAUAAAGUCUGAAGCUGCUGUUAUAGUAACUUGCGUUAAUAAUGAGUCUAUUCAAAAGAAGCUGCUCGGUCAGUGAUAGAAGAGCUCAAAUUCCAUCAUGUAAAAGCUUUUCGAAAUUUAUCAGUUCAGGGAUUGAAAUGAAGAAUACUUUUCCUUUGCAAAAAAAAUGUGGAUUUAAAAAUAAACCUGAAGUCUUUGGCGAGCGCCUCUAUACU